rnacentral:rRNA from 1 species
GGCGGCGUGCCUAACACAUGCAAGUCGCACGAGAAAGGGACUUCGGUCUUGAGUAAAGUGGCGCACGGGUGAGUAACACGUGACUAAUCUACCCUCGAGUGGGGAAUAACUGAGAGAAAUCUUAGCUAAUACCACAUAACACUUACGAGUCAAAGCAGCAAUGCGCUUGGGGAGGAGGUCGCGGCCGAUUAGCUAGUUGGCGGGGUAAUGGCCCACCAAGGCGAUGAUCGGUAUCCGGCCUGAGAGGGCGCACGGACACACUGGAACUGAAACACGGUCCAGACUCCUACGGGAGGCAGCAGUGGGGAAUUUUGCGCAAUGGGGGAAACCCUGACGCAGCAACGCCGCGUGGAGGAUGAAGUAUCUUGGUACGUAAACUCCUUUCGAUGGGGAAGAUAAUGACGGUACCCAUAGAAGAAGCCCCGGCUAACUUCGUGCCAGCAGCCGCGGUAAUACGAAGGGGGCAAGCGUUGUUCGGAAUUAUUGGGCGUAAAGGGUGCGUAGGCGGUUUGACAAGUCAUCUGUGAAAUCUAUGGGCUCAACCCAUA